UUCGGUAUUUCUCAAUGACCGGCGCUGCGAGGGCACUUCCGACGCGGGAGGGAGGGGUGUCAUUAACGCUCGGUUUAUCAGUUCCUUCCGGUCUGCCCGGCUCGGCCCAGCUCGUCCACCACGCCCGGGGCGCUCCGACGCUUUCACGACUCGGUUUAAGUAAGCGGUCGCGUGUGGCGGUGUGUGCCAAGCGAUUUUAUAGCCCAGCCGUCUCCCCCCAAGACCCGCUGCUAGCCGUGGAAACCCAAGCCGCCUGGCAAUGAAGGGGAUGAUGCAAACUUAGAAAGUGACCCGGCGCCCGGGAGCGGUGGCGAGAGGCGGCCCGGCCGGGCAUGAAUGGCCGGGCGCGGUUGCAUAAUCCGCGCGGUAUAAAUAGCCGGCGGGCGGCCGCAGACGCGCUCGCUCGCUCGCGUGUACCGUUAUCGUGCAAGGCUCCUUCCCUGGGCGGCUCAAUCCCAGGUCCUCUUCCCCGUCAGCUCGAUGCCAGGAUUUGAAACAGCCUAGACCAAAGGCCCAGCCCCCGCCUCCCUCCUCCCCUGAAUUCAUGUAUUAUGAAUGAAACGCCAGCCCCGCGGCUUCCCGAGGUCUCCACUUCAGACAGGAUCUCAUUAUAUAGCCCAAGAUGACCUUGAACUUAGGAUACAGCCCAGCCUAUCCUGAACUUUCAGUCCUUCUGCCUCAGCCUGCCAGAGUGCUAGGAUUAUAGGCAUGCACCGUACCUGGUUUAGAUUUUCCUUCUUGAUGAGAAGAAUGGCGCAGACUAGUGAGGACCGACCAGCUGCUCGGGAAGCUCACUGCUCCCCCACCUCCAGUGCUCCGGAGCCUUCGUCAGAGCAGACAGCCUCAGCCUCCCGAGUGCUGGGAUUUCAGACGUGCACCACCAUGCUCAGCUUCAGUGUAACUGGACCUUGGAGAACCAAGAAUGUACCAGGAAGAAAACAAGAAAGGAGAAAGAAGCUUUGUGUUCUAGGACAUGGAAACUGCAGAUGUUACAUGUAUCUUGUACAAUGGUCCAAAGCUGGAAAGGUCUUCCCGCUGCCUGCUUUCAGCCCCUGUCCUGUGUCACAGAAGCACUCGCCGAGUCCGGUUUGUUUGUACAUUGUCUUGCUAUGAAGUCCAAGCAGGCCUCAAACUUGCCACGUGCCUGCUGCAGCCUCCAGAGCGCUGGGCUCAGAGGCAUGCACCACCACACACAGUUUCAGGUGUUGGGUAUUUUAUCUCCGCAAUAAAGAAAGUGAGCGACUAAGACACCGUUGAAAGUACCAUCUCCACUCAUAUCAUGUAGAAGUCUCUAUUAUAGAUGGGACUGCCCUUGACUUCGUAGGAGGAAGGUGUCACACUGUGGGGAAUAAAGCUUGCUGGAAAAAUUGAGCACUGAGCCAGACCCAGCUUCCUUCGAGGUUGCUGAGCAGCCUUCCUGUGGAAGAAACCAAGCUCCCCACUUGACGAAGAGUAAAACCCACAGAGAUAAGAGCUGCUGGCAGAGUCUGGAGGCCAGAUGUGUCUAGGCAUGCAGCAGUGGACGCUGUUCACUUUCCCCUUAGAGGUGCCCAGACGCCUUUGGCUUCUCAGCAGCACGUGUGCGGCCUGGCCCAGACCACACUGUGGGUCACCGGGCAACCUGCAGAAGGCUCCCGAAGGUCAGUGCUCCUCCCUCUGUGCUGUCCCCACAUGUCUUCCAGCUCUAAAAUUCUUUGUUCUUGUGCUCGGUUCAAGAAGGCGAAGGUGGGGGAGGAGGGUGGCUCAGUGGCUCUGCUGCCUGCCUCACAAGAGGGCAAAGAGGACUGGGGUUUGCAUGGCAGGAGGGCUUGGGUGAAGGAGCCUGAAAGGCGGUGUGUGCUCCCUCCCCUGGGGCCCAGGGUGUGGCAGUAAUGCGCCCCACCUACUCCACACUGCUCUCCUGGUUCGGUAAGCCUGAGUAAGCCUCCCCUGUUGUUUUGUAGGAAAGGGUUUCAGAUACCCCUUGCUCUUUCUCCUGUCCCACUCUCUGCUCCUCCACAUUUCCCAGAUGGUCCCUGAGCAUCUCCAGGCUGCAGGCAUCAUCUCUCUGCCCCCUCGUCUCCCUCCCAGUCUCUCCCUGACUCAGCCUUCUCCGUCUCUCCCAGCAGUGCUGUCUGUCAAAGGCAGCUUCAUGCCAGCAGCACCCUGAUGCUCCGGCUGGAAGAGAGUCAGAGCCCAGUCCGGUCAGCUCCCGAGGGCUCUGUGGUGAGCUGUUAGCCUGACUCAGGCUUCGGGUGGGCUGCGCCUCUGAGGAUGCUCUCUCUCAGCUCUGAGCACUUUUCAGACCCAGCAAGGUAAGGGAUGGAGGCAGCAGUAGCCUUGCAGUCUGCACUAGCUUCAGAGGUUGGUAGAUUUGCUUUAUCUUUCUCUUCCUCUGUUUUGUGGUGCUGGGGAUUGAACCCAGAUCCUCACACAUUCUAUGCAUAUUCUCUGAGCUGUACCCCAACCCCUCUCCUGUUCCCCCUUUCAGGCAGAGUCUUGCUGGGUAGUCCUGGCUAACCCUGAACUCACAAUCCUCCUGCCUGUGCCUCCUAAGUGCUGGGCUUACAGGUGUACUCCUCCACAC